rnacentral:rRNA from 1 species
CAGCAGCGCGGUAAUACGGAGGAUCCAAGCGUUAUCCGGAAUCAUUGGGUUUAAAGGGUCCGUAGGCGGUCUUGUAAGUCAGUGGUGAAAGCCCAUCGCUCAACGGUGGAACGGCCAUUGAUACUGCAGGACUUGAAUUAUUGGGAAGUAACUAGAAUAUGUAGUGUAGCGGUGAAAUGCUUAGAGAUUACAUGGAAUACCAAUUGCGAAGGCAGGUUACUACCAAUUGAUUGACGCUGAUGGACGAAAGCGUGGGUAGCGAACAGGAUUAGAUACCCGCGUAGUCCCUGUCUCUUAUACA